GAUGAAGAACGUAGCGAAAUGGGAUAAGUAAUGUGAAUUGCAGAAUUCAGUGAAUCAUCGAAUCUUUGAACGCACAUUGCGCCCGCCAGUAUUCUGGCGGGCAUGCCUGUUCGAGCGUCAUUUCAACCAUCAAGCCCCAGGCUUGUGUUGGGGACCUGCGGCUGCCGCAGGCCCUGAAAACCAGUGGCGGGCUCGCUGUCACACCGGGCGUAGUAGAUUUUAUCUCGCUCAGGGCGUGCUGCGGGUUCCGGCCGUUAAAAAGCCUUUUUUACCCAAGGUUGACCUCGGAUCAGGCAGGAAGACCCGCUGAACUUAAGCAUAUCAAUAAGCGGAGGA
rnacentral:misc_RNA from 1 species